rnacentral:rRNA from 1 species
UACCAGGUAUGCAAGCGUUAUCCGGAAUUAUUGGGCGUAAAGCGUUUGUAGGCGGGCGAGUGUGUUUGAUGUUAAAUCUUACAGCUCAACUUUGAGAUUGCGUUAAAAACUGCUUGUCUUGAGUAUGGUAGGGGUAAAGGUAAUUCCCAGUGUAGCGGUGAAAUGCGUAAAUAUUGGGAAGAACACUAAACAGCGAAGGCACUUUACUAGGCUAAUACUGACGCUGAAAAACGAAAGGUAACGUAGCGAAACGGAUUAGAUACCCGUGUAGUCUUACCCGUAAACUAUGGACACUAAACGGUAAAUUUUUAAUUUACUGUUAAAGCUAACGCGGUAAGUGUCCCGCCUGGGGAGUAUGCUUGCAAAAGUGAAACUCAAAGGAAUUGACGGGGGCCCGCACAAGCGGCGGAGCAUGUGGUUUAAUUUGACGGUACACGAAGAACCUUACCAGGAUUUGACAUGCUAGAUAGUUGCUUGAAAGAGUAACGUGCCGUAAGGAAUCUAGACACAGGUGGUGCAUGGCUGUCGUCAGUUCGUGUUGUGAAAUGUUGGGUUAAGUCCCGCAACGAACGCAACCCUUGUCUUUAGUUAUUUUCUAAAGAGACUGCCUGUAAUCAACAGGAGGAAGGUAAGGAUGCGGUCAAGUCAUCAUGCCCCUUAUGUCCUGGGCUACACACGUGCUACAAUGGGAAAGACAAUGAGCUGCAAAUCCGUAAAGUUAAGCAAAUCUCUUAAACUUUCUUGUAGUUCGGAUUGUGGGCUGCACCUCGCCCACAUGAAGUUGGAAUCGCUUGUAAUCCCCAGUCAGUUAUAUGGCGGUGAAUCCGUUCCCGGGCCU